GACGAACGCUGGCGGCGUGCCUAAUACAUGCAAGUAGAACGCUGAAGGAGGAUCUUGCUUCUCUGGAUGAGUUGCGCACGGGUGAGUAUCGCGUAGGUAACCUGCCUGGUAGCGGGGGAUAACUCUUGGAAACGAUAGCUAAUACCGCAUAAGAGUAGAUGUUGCAUGACAUUUGCUUAAAAGUUGCAAUUGCAUCACUACCAGAUGGACCUGCGUAGUCUUUGCUAGUUGGCGGGGUAACGGCUCACCAAGGCGACGAUACAUAGCCGACCUGAGAGGGUGAUCGGCCACACUGGGACGGGGACACUGCCCAGACUCCUGAGGGAGGCAGCAGUAGGGAAUCUUCGGCAAUGGACGGAAGUCUGACCGAGCAAAGCCGCGAGAGUGAAGAAGGUUUUCGGAUCGUGAAGCUCGGUUGUCAGAGAAGAGCGAGUGUGAGAGUGGAAAGAACACGCUGUGACGGUAUCUGACCAAAAAGCAACGGCUAACUCCGUG
rnacentral:rRNA from 1 species